CUGCUGCCUUCCGUAGGAGUUUGGGCCGUGUCUCAGUCCCAAUGUGGCCGUCCACCCUCUCAGGCCGGCUACUGAUCGUCGGCUUGGUGGGCCGUUACCCCGCCAACUACCUAAUCAGACGCGGGCCCAUCUUACACCACCGGAGUUUUCCGCACCAGGCCAUGCGGCCCUGUGCGCAUAUGCGGUAUUAGCAGCCGUUUCCAGCUGUUGUCCCCCUGUGUAAGGCAGGUUGCCCACGCGUUACUCACCCGUCCGCCACU
rnacentral:rRNA from 1 species